UACGAAGGGUGCAAGCGUUAAUCGGAAUUACUGGGCGUAAAGCGUGCGUAGGUGGUCUUUUAAGUCCGUUGUGAAAGCCCUGGGCUCAACCUGGGAAUGGCAGUGGAUACUGGAAGGCUGGAGUACGGUAGAGGAGGGUGGAAUUCCCGGUGUAGCGGUGAAAUGCGUAGAGAUCAUGAGGAAGACCAGUGGCGAAGGCGGGUCGCUGGACAGUUCCUGACACUGAGGCACGAAGGCCAGGGGAGCAAACGGG
rnacentral:rRNA from 1 species